CCAGCACCAGCCAGGCUAUAUUGUUCUGCUUUGUUUUGAAGGAAACAUUGUAAGGAACCAUGAUGGCGGUGUAGAAGACAGAAUUAGCUGGAUAUGAUGCUGAGUGCCUGUAGUUCUAGCAUUUGGAAGACUGAGAAAGGAGAAAUACUGAGUUGCAGGUCAGCCUGGGUCACCCAGUAAGCUUUCUUCGGUCACUCGAUGAGAAGCAGAGUCCUCAGACAAAUGGAGCCAGCUGACUCCCAUCAUCAUGUCUGAUGCACUCUUGUGGGAUGCUGAGGUAAUCUUGUGUUAAUAAAACUGCUUGUGAAG